rnacentral:rRNA from 1 species
UCCGGUGGUGAUGGCUAAGGGGAUCCACCUGUUCCUGUUCCCAUCCCGAACACAGUAGUUAAGCCCUUAUACGUCGAAAGUACUUGGCUGGAAGCGGCCUGGAAGGAUAGAUAGCUGCCGGUU